GGGAAAGUCUGAUAUUCAAACAUCGACACGUCUGAAGCUCUUCAGUCACAAAUGGAUGGCACAUGCCCACCUUUGAAAGCUGAGGAUGAGGAAGGUCCCUGUCCAUCUGGAGAUGAAUGCACUCAACCAUUCUUCCCAGGUGAUGGUACUCUGGACAUCAAGCCGGACCCGUUGACCUUGUCACCUUCAGGAGCAGCUCUGAGCGACUCUGAUGGCUGCUCGGAGGCUCCAGCUGCAGACCACCCGGACCCGCCUGACGCCAGGGAUGAGUGGCCGGCGCCCGUCGCCUCGCAUGACGACGCUCCCGAUGUCCAGCCCGAUCCGUUGGCGUUGUCUGCCUUAGACGAGGAUCUGCUCGCAGAUACCAGUCCCCCGUCAUUCAGUAAAUCUGCCAAGCUCCGGUUUUCGGUGGAGGAGGGCUUUCGCCGCGGGACCUGUGUGUAUCAGGCAGAGGACGGCCACUCGUACCUCGUGAGGU